rnacentral:tRNA from 1 species
AUUCAUGUAGUUUAUAAAAACACUUUAUUUUCAUUAAAGAAAAGAUAAAUUUAAUAUCCAUGAAUA